rnacentral:rRNA from 1 species
GGUGAACGCUGGCGGCGUGCUUAAGACAUGCAAGUCGAACGCGGUCUUCGGACCGAGUGGCGCACGGGUGAGUAACACGUAACUGACCUACCCAGAAGUCAUGAAUAACUGGCCGAAAGGUCAGCUAAUACGGGAUGUGGUGAUUGUCCGUGGCAAAUCACUAAAGAUUUAGCGCUUCUGGAUGGGGUUGCGUUCCAUCAGCUGGUUGGUGGGGUAAAGGCCUACCAAGGCGACGACGGAUAGCCGGCCUGAGAGGGUGGCCGGCCACAGGGGCACUGAGACACGGGUCCCACUCCUACGGGAGGCAGCAGUUAGGAAUCUUCCACAAUGGGCGCAAGCCUGAUGGAGCGACGCCGCGUGAGGGAUGAAGGUUUUCGGAUCGUAAACCUCUGAAUCUGGGACGAAAGAGCCUUCGGGCAGAUGACGGUACCAGAGUAAUAGCACCGGCUAACUCCGUGCCAGCCGCCGCGGUAAUAC